rnacentral:rRNA from 1 species
UGCCACCGCCGCGGUAAUACGGAGGGACCUAGCGUAGUUCGGAAUUACUGGGCGUAAAGCGCGCGUAGGCGGAUUGGAAAGUUGGGGGUGAAAUCCCGGGGCUCAACCCCGGAACUGCCUCCAAAACUGCCAGUCUAGAGUUCGAGAGAGGUGAGUGGAACUCCAAGUGUAGAGGUGAAAUUCGUAGAUAUUUGGAAGAACACCAGUGGCGAAGGCGGCUCACUGGCUCGAUACUGACGCUGAGGUGCGAAAGUGUGGGAGCAAACAGGAUUAGAUA